rnacentral:tRNA from 1 species
GGGGCCGUGGUCUAGCGGCAUGACGCCGCCCUCACACGGCGGAGGUCGCCGGUUCGAGUCCGGCCGGCCCCA